AAAAAUUUCAUUUUUGCUGCCUUUUUCUAAAAAAAAACUUAAAAAGAACCCCUCACUUCCUCUGCUAGGGUUUCAACCCAGCCUAGAGAGCCGUCGCCGGCACACCGCACCUCCGCCACGCUGGUCAGAGCCUUAUGAAAUCGGGUUUUUACCCCUUUUUUAAAGCGGAUUCGGUGGUGAGGCUCUCCUAGACCAAAAAAAUCAAAAGAAAAGAAACCCCGCCCUCUCUUUGGACCGAUUCCGACGACGGAGAAGGCGUCUCCGACGACGGGGCUGCGGGUACUCGGCUUCUUGGUAGGCGGCCUUACCUUAUUGAACACUAAUGGGAACUUGAUUUUGGAGUUGGGGAGUUGUUUGGUGCUAUCUCUCUUGCAUAACUUGGCUGGGAUGGUUGCAGUCUUGAUAAUCUGGAUACAUGGGAACCGGACUCUGUGGCGAGAAGCCAUCUCAGUGUACUUUUGUUCAACAGCUCCGUUUAGAGUAGUGUCAUGGUAUUCCUUGUACAUGUUAUGAUAACCAGUACUGCUUUGGUAGCGGAGCCAUAUACCAUAAUUCUUGAUCUUGGUAGGGUUCUUCUCAAAUAUAUGUAGAGAAAUUUGAUUUGGAUACCAAGCAUUAAAAAGAAUAUUAAAGAAUGCAUCAAAAAUUGUGUUGCCUUGGGUGUACAGAUGAUCAAUAUGCAAUCACUAAAUACAGCAUUUUUUAAAA